GCUGGGUGUGGUGGUGGGUGCCUGUAAUCCCAGCUACUUGGGAGGCUGAGGCAGGAGAAUCGCUUGAACCUGGGAGGCAGAAGUGGCAGUGAGCGGAGAUUGUGCCACUGCACUCCAGCCUGGGUGACAGAGUGAGACUCUGUCUCAA
rfam:Homo sapiens chromosome 5, GRCh38 reference primary assembly.